rnacentral:misc_RNA from 1 species
GUAGGUGAACCUGCGGAAGGAUCAUUAACACUUUUAUCCUUUUAUCCAAACCCCAAUGUGAACUUGUCUUCUACCCCUUUUCACUUUUCCAUUCACUAGUUUACUAUUGAGUGGAUAGUGUGAAGGGCCCUCAAGUUUUUUUUUCUCUUCUCUCUUUUUCCCAAAAGAGCAGACUGUUGAAGGAGAAACUGUCUUCCUUUUCACUUUUUCUAACUCCUAUAAUCAACCUUAACUGUUGAACUAAAUCCAAUCGCUUCUUACUUUUUCCUUUGUAACAGAAGGAGAGAGAGGAUAGUGAGUGAUCUUACGUAAUGUAUGAACAACUCUUAGCAAUGGAUAUCUUGGUUCUC